rnacentral:misc_RNA from 1 species
CCCAUACCAAACGCGCCGCCGAUGUCAUCUAAAAUACGGUCCGGACAGGGUUCACGUGAAGUCUCCGGCGUGCCCAUUAAAGAUAAAUAAAGUUACAAGGAGAACUUUCGUUAGAGAAAGAAGCUUUGUUUUAAGGCUACCGUGAAUGAAACAAGGAGAAGCCACCUUUAGGUUUUCAAUUUGGGCUGCCGAAGGGUCAGGAUUAUGGCAAUUUCCGAAUAUAGCCCUGUUCAAG